UACGAAGGGGGCUAGCGUUGCUCGGAAUCACUGGGCGUAAAGCGCACGUAGGCGGCUUGUUAAGUCAGGGGUGAAAUCCUGGAGCUCAACUCCAGAACUGCCUUUGAUACUGGAGAGCUUGGGUCCGGAAGAGGUGAGUGGAACUCCGAGUGUAGAGGUGAAAUGCGCAGAUAUCAGGAGGAACACCUAUUGCGAAGGCAGCUCGCUGGGACGUUACUGACGCUGAGACGCGAAAGCGUGGGGAGCAAACAGG
rnacentral:rRNA from 1 species